rfam:Archaeon GW2011_AR10 chromosome, complete genome.
GCCCCGAUAGUCUAGCCCGGCCAAGGACAAUGCCCUCUCACGGCAUAAACACGGGUUCAAAUCCCGUUCGGGGCA